rnacentral:rRNA from 1 species
GAUGAACGCUGGCGGCGUGCCUAAUACAUGCCAGUCGAGCGAAUGGACGAGAAGCUUGCUUCUCUGAUGUUAGCGGCGGACGGGGGAGUAACACGUGGAUAACCUACCUAUAAGACUGGGAUAACUUCGGGAAACCGUAGCUAAUACCGGAUAAUAUUUUGAACCUCAUUGUUCAAAAGUGAAAGACGGUCUUGCUGUCACUUAUAGCUGGAUCCGCGCUGCAUUAGCUAGUUGGUAAGGUAACGGCUUACCAAGGCAACGAUGCAUAGCCGACUUGGAAGGGUGAUCGCCCACCUUGGACCGGGAACACGGCCCAGACUCCUAGGGGAGGCAGCAGAAGGGAAUCUUCCGCAAUGGGGGAAGGCCGGACGGGGCAACGCGGCGGGAGUGAGGAAGGUCUUCGGAUCGUAAAACUCGGUUAUUAGGGAAGAACAUAUGUGUAAGUAACUGUGCACAUCUUGACGGUACCUAAUCAGAAAGCCACGGCUAACUACGUG